UGGGGAAUUUUCCGCAAUGGGCGCAAGCCCGACGGAGCAAGACCGCGUGGGGGAGGAAGGCCUUUGGGUUGUAAACCCCUUUUCUCUGGGAAGAAGCCAUGACGGUACCUGAGGAAUCAGCCUCGGCUAACUCCGUGCCAGCAGCCGCGGUAAUACGGAGGAGGCAAGCGUUAUCCGGAAUUAUUGGGCGUAAAGCGUCCGUAGGUGGUGGGGCAAGUCGGCGGUUAAAGCCUGGGGCUUAACUCCAGACCGGCCGUGGAAACUGCACCACUAGAGGGCAGUAGGGGUAGAGGGAAUUCCCGGUGUAGCGGUGAAAUGCGUAGAGAUCGGGAAGAACACCAGUGGCGAAGCCUCUACUGGACUGCACUGACACUGAGGGACGAAAGCUAGGGGAGCGAAUGGGAUUAGAUACCCCAGUAGUC
rnacentral:rRNA from 1 species